CCAGGUGCAAUUUUGUACUGCAUAGAUGUUUUAGUUUCGUCGGCUAAGUUUUAUUUAGUUAUAAGUAGUUAUAAAUUUUGAGCGGCACUUGAACGCACCAGCAGGUUCCCAGAAUCCCUAUGUGAAGCAUCUAGCCCAACAGCCAAUCAGAAACGUAGUUGGCCGAGCAAGUUCCGCAACACAGACACUGCUCGUGGUUUUUGCCGCCAUUGGCCUUUCCUUUUGGACCGCGACGAAGGAUGGUUGACUGCUGAGCAAGCUGAAGACGAGCAAGCAGAACGCGAGCGAGCGGACCUUGGAGGAGGAGGACAGUGUGAUUCGGCGCGAAUUGCAGGAGGCAAGGAGCCACCACAACACACCGGUGGUGCCGUUACCGCGGACAGCAGACGGCUAAGAGAGGUCUCCACGAGGGCCGGGUGGUUCGGUUUCGUUCCCAGCCGCCAUUACGGGAGUUUCGACGAGUGGCGAGGUCGACACCCUCAGUUUCAGAGCAGAACAACGGUCAGGUUUUUUUGGUGGACCAGAACUUCGAGAAGAAGAUUGAAGAUCCAUCAGAUGGCGAGCCAGAGAGUCCACGGAUAAAGAUACCCACAUUGCACGUACAUUCCGACUACAACAGGUGCACCUGCAACAAUUCAAAUAUUUAUUUAUUUUUUUGGGCCCCACCGAACAAUAUUUUUUUUUCUGAGUGCGCACUCGUUACAAUUUUUGUUUUAAUGUGUUAUGGUUGUUUACAAAUUUGUUUAUUGUUUCUGUAAUGGGAAAAAUAUAUGAGGUGUUACUCAACCGUU